UACGAAGGUGGCAAGCGUUGUCCGGAAUUAUUGGGCGUAAAGAGCUCGUAGGCGGUCUGUCGCGUCGGCUGUGAAAACCCGGGGCUCAACCCCGGGCCUGCAGUCGAUACGGGCAGACUAGAGUGCGGUAGGGGAGACUGGAAUUCCUGGUGUAGCGGUGAAAUGCGCAGAUAUCAGGAGGAACACCGGUGGCGAAGGCGGGUCUCUGGGCCGUAACUGACGCUGAGGAGCGAAAGCGUGGGGAGCGAACAGG
rnacentral:rRNA from 1 species